rnacentral:rRNA from 1 species
CCUACGGGUGGCAGCAGUGAGGAAUAUUGGUCAAUGGGGGCAAGCCUGAACCAGCCACGUCGCGUGAGGGAUGACGGUCCUAUGGAUUGUAAACCUCUUUUGUCGGGGAGCAAAGCCCGCCACGUCUGGCGGGAAGGAGAGUACCCGAAGAAAUAGCAUCGGCUGACUCCGUGCCAGCAGCCGCGGUAAUACUGGGGAUGCGAGCGGUAUCCGGAUGUAUAGAGUUUAAAGGGUGCUUAGGCGGAAGUUUAAGUCAGCGGUCAAAUGUAGGUGCUCAACACCGGCCUGCCGUUGAAACUGGUCUUCUUGAGUGAGCGAGAGGUAUGCGGAAUGCGUGGUGUAGCGGUGAAAUGCAGAGAUAGCACGCAGAACUCCGGUGGCGAAGGCAGCAUACUGGCGCUCAACUGACGCUGAGGCACGAAAGCGUGGGGAUCGAACAGGAUUAGAUACCCUAGUAGUC